rnacentral:rRNA from 1 species
AACGAACGCUGGCGGCGCGCCUAACACAUGCAAGUCGAACGAGAAGGCGUAGCAAUACGCUUGUAGAGUGGCGAACGGGUGAGUAAUACGUGGGUGACCUACCCUCGAGUGGGGAAUAACCCGCCGAAAGGCGGGCUAAUGCCGCGUACGCUUCCGUCCUCACGGGGACGGAAGGAAAGCUGUACCGUGGGUACGGCGCUCAAGGAUGGGCUCACGUCCUAUCAGCUUGUUGGUAGGGUAACGGCCACCAAGGCUACGACGGGUAGCUGGUCUGAGAGGACGAUCAGCCACACUGGCACUGCGACACGGGCCAGACUCCUACGGGAGGCAGCAGUGAGGAAUAUUGCGCAAUGGGCGAAAGCCUGACGCAGCGACGCCGCCGUGGGGGAUGAAGGUCUUCGGAUUGU